rnacentral:rRNA from 1 species
GACGAACGCUGGCGGCGUGCCUAAUACAUGCAAGUAGAACGCUGAAGAGAGGAGCUUGCUCUUCUUGGAUGAGUUGCGAACGGGUGAGUAACGCGUAGGUGACCUGCCUUGUAGCGGGGGAUAACUAUUGGAAACGAUAGCUAAUACCGCAUAACAAUGGAUGACACAUGUCAUUUAUUUGAAAGGGGCAAUUGCUCCACUACAAGAUGGACCUGCGUUGUAUUAGCUAGUAGGUGAGGUAACGGCUCACCUAGGCGACGAUACAUAGCCGACCUGAGAGGGUGAUCGGCCACACUGGGACUGAGACACGGCCCAGACUCCUACGGGAGGCAGCAGUAGGGAAUCUUCGGCAAUGGGGGCAACCCUGACCGAGCAACGCCGCGUGAGUGAAGAAGGGUUUCGGAUCGUAAAGCUCUGUUGUAAGUCAAGAACGAGUGUGAGAGUGGAAAGUUCACACUGUGACGGUAGCUUACCAGAAAGGGACGGCUAACUACGUG